AAGUGGGGCGACCCGCCAGGCCGGCACCCACAUAGUGCUGGGCACCCCGCUUUAAACUUAAGAGGGAGGCGGAAAUUAGGACUCCUAGUGUGGACAAGGGUUCCUCUGUGGUACGUAAAAUGCAGUGAGACCAGGGGGCGGAGCUGCAGCCUGUGGGGCCUGCACCCCAUGGAAGGUGCUCCCAUCCAGCUCCCUGCUCCUGGCCCUGGAGACCAGCGGAGAUGACCGCUCACCCCGGAGACCCGAGUGAAGCGCCUGGCUUUGGCCCGGCCCAGCCCCAGCCAGUGUGGCCAUCUGAAGGUCUCUCCGUCUUUCUCUUAAAGAAAUCAUUGACAGAAUUACGUGGGGUGGGAAUGAAAGACUAGAAAAGGCACCAAAUGAUCAGACUGCAACUGCCCCCUCCAACAGCAGACCGGAAUUGGUUGGGAAAGAAAGCAAGGAAGUGAACCGGGAGCUCCCUUUGAGCCUUGAGCUGAUCGACGGUCUAGGUGACUUGAGAUGUGAUGACUUUAAUAGUAGGUGCUCCUGCACUGCCUUUUGUUACCCCCAUGAGAGAACAGAGUAAUGGGGCUGCCUACAUCUUGGAUCUGAACUUUCAAAACUCAGGAAACCUUUCAAGUUGGUCGAUAGGUUUUGGAUGAAGACUGCACUCAGCAUCUGAACUUCACUCAACAGAAAAAUGUGCUACAUGCGUGUUUCACGGAUCCUUAGAUGAGCCCGUGAGGUAAGGAGAAACCACAAGUGGACCGAUGACUGCUGUGCACCUGUUAAAGUGCCGGAAGAGAGACGUUACAGCUCAGCCCACCUCGAGUUCCUGUGAAAGUCUUUGCAAAAGCUCCCCACACUCUGUGAGCCCACGUGUGUCAUGGAGAAUCCGCACAGAAAUGACCAGGACUUCACGGAUUUUUCCGAACCAACUUCACGGCAUCAGACCUGUGGGCUGCUUCCUCCGCUAGAUGAGAAAGUCCUUUCGUGGCCCCAACCCAGUGCUCCGAUUGACCGGGGCCACAGGAAUGGAAGGGGAGCCUCUGGGGUUUAUCCAGCGCCAGUCAGAAUCAAUUCUAACACCCGGAUGUCUGGCUGAAGGCUGAAGGUUUCUUGACAAAUAUACAGUGAGGCGUAAUUUGUGAAGUUUGGGAACAGAAGGAGGAAAUUAUGGCUCAGCAUGAUAGACAACUGACAAUUGCACAGUGGACAAUAUUGGUCAUUUUUUUUUUUUUUUUGACAGGCAGAGUGGACAGUGAGAAAGAGACAC